rnacentral:lncRNA from 1 species
CUAGUAUCAAGCAAAUGACUGGAUUCCAUAUGACAGAAAAUGUCUCUAGAUAUGGAGACGACAAAAAACCAAGAGGCCAAGUCACUGAAUGAACCAGCAUGUGCACGUGGCAUAUUGUUUGUGAGAUGAUGCUGGACCAGGGCGGGGGACAAGGACUUGAAUGGAUGAAGGAUGACCCAGAGGUCUGGAGUGAAGUAAGAAUCUCUAUUCAGAGGACAGGGGAAGGAGAAAUCCAAGACUCAUAG